GCCUCCGUAGCUCAGUGGAUAGAGCGACGGUUUCCUAAACCGCAGGUCGCAGGUUCGAUCCCUGCCGGGGGCGCCA
rnacentral:tRNA from 1 species